rnacentral:misc_RNA from 1 species
UGGAUCCCAUGCUAGUAUUCCCAUGGAUAAAUGUCAGUAGAAAAGGGUAAAUCCUAGCAUUGCUAUAUACAUCCAUGACCAUAGGUACUCUAGCUUAGAUAUAUAUACACAAUUUGGCUUCACAUUUUUAUUCAAGUCCAACUGCCUUGGAAGAGGGCACUGGUGCCUGCACUCUCUCCAUGUAUCUUCACUAAAUAAGAACACGACGGAUCUGCUUCGCAUUCCGUCUUCAGCUCCAAUCCCAGUUCCUCUUCUAUAUCAUCCGACGCCAAUAUCAGCAAGAACUCGCAUUCCUCAUAGUUCAACAAGUCCGGCGGAUCAGCCGGAAUGAACCUUUUGUGGCCAAAUUGGCCUUGCAGGUGUGCAGGAAACAUGGCCUCUUGCGCUUGUUUUCAAGUCCUCUGAAUUGGUAACUACUGCCUGCUCGUUGUUCCGGGUUCUUUAUCUGUAUGAUAAAUGAGGCUUGGCGUUCAAUGUUGAGCGACUCUUGAGGCUCAUUUUCUUUAUCUUCUGGUGGGAACUCCAGCCUGUAAACCAAAUGAGUGUGCAUUCUCUUGCCCGGGUUGUGCCUUAGGAUGCGAUAAACGCCUUCUCCCACUGUUCUUGCCGGAUACUUGUGUCGGUGACCUCUUGUGGAAGUACCAUAUUCCUCUCCUCCAAGCGCAUUCUUCAUAUCAUCUAUCUUAUUGGUGACCAAGUCUACAAAACCCCAAUAAGGUUGGCUUCUCUUACUUGGGUCCGGAAGGCUUUUCCGUCCCAUCACAAUGAAUCUCAGCAAGGGCUCCUCUUGGAUGUUCACUUCCUACCAUAUUGAGGUGGCUCAUUUAAAAGUAACAAUUCCUGUCUAACUGAAAUAUGUAAAAUAAAACAGAAAAAGAAGAUUUACCAGGCUACCAUGUCCACCCUCCUUUCCACUUGUAGUUGUAGAAGUGGAAGUCCUUUUGACACCCUCCUUGCCAGAGUGAGGGUCCUGUUUCUGUUCGAUUGAUCGCUCUCCGGACUCGGGCCGUAGAACAACGCACAAGCGUUGAACAUCGUCAGGAGAGUGGACUUCUUAUUUGUCGACUUUUGGCCUACAGAAGAAAUAUAUUUCGCCCCUCUCCUACAAUAAAAUAAUUCAAGGGGUGACGAUGAUUCUUAGUUUUCAGUGCUACCGGAAUAUAUAUUACAAAUAUACAAUUUGCAAACCAGAAUCUCAAGCUAA